rnacentral:rRNA from 1 species
AAAGAUUAAGCCAUGCAUGUCUAAGUAUAAGCAAUCUAUACGGUGAAACUGCGAAUGGCUCAUUAAAUCAGUUAUCGUUUAUUUGAUAGUACCUAACCUACUUGGAUAACCGUGGUAAUUCUAGAGCUAAUACAUGCUAAAAACCUCGACUUCGGAAGGGGUGUAUUUAUUAGAUAAAAAACCAAUGCCCUUCGGGGCUCCUUGGUGAUUCAUAAUAACUCAACGAAUCGCAUGGCCUUGCGCCGGCGAUGGUUCAUUCAAAUUUCUGCCCUAUCAACUUUCGAUGGUAGGAUAGUGGCCUACCAUGGUGUUAACGGGUAACGGGGAAUUAGGGUUCUAUUCCGGAGAGGGAGCCUGAGAAACGGCUACCACAUCCAAGGAAGGCAGCAGGCGCGCAAAUUACCCAAUCCCGACACGGGGAGGUAGUGACAAUAAAUACUGAUACAGGGCCCUUUCGGGUCUUGUAAUUGGAAUGAGUACAAUUUAAAUCCCUACCGAGAAACACUUUG